UACGGAGGGGGCGAGCGUUAUUCGGAAUUAUUGGGCGUAAAGGGCGCGUAGGCGGCUUGGUAAGUCAAAGGUGAAAUCCCUCGGCUCAACUGAGGAAUUGCCUUUGAAACUGCCUGGCUCGAGGCCGGGAGGGGGUAGCGGAAUUCCCAGUGUAGCGGUGAAGUGCGUAGAUAUUGGGAGGAACACCGGUGGCGAAGGCGGCUACCUGGACCGGUUCUGACGCUGAUGCGCGAAAGCGUGGGGAGCAACAGG
rnacentral:rRNA from 1 species